rnacentral:tRNA from 1 species
GGGCUCAUGGUUUAGACCGGUAGAACACCAGGUUCGCAAUCUGGGAGUCGCGGGUUCAAUUCCCGCUGAGUCCA